GACGAACGCUGGCGGCGUGCUUAACACAUGCAAGUCGAACGGAAAGGCCCUGCUUUUGUGGGGUGCUCGAGUGGCGAACGGGUGAGUAACACGUGAGUAACCUGCCCUUGACUUUGGGAUAACUUCAGGAAACUGGGGCUAAUACCGGAUAGGAGCUCCUGCUGCAUGGUGGGGGUUGGAAAGUUUCGGCGGUUGGGGAUGGACUCGCGGCUUAUCAGCUUGUUGGUGGGGUAGUGGCUUACCAAGGUUUUGACGGGUAGCCGGCCUGAGAGGGUGACCGGCCACAUUGGAACUGAGAUACGGCCCAGACUCCUACGGGAGGCAGCAGUGGGGAAUAUUGCACAAUGGGCGGAAGCCUGAUGCAGCAACGCCGCGUGCGGGAUGACGGCCUUCGGGUUGUAAACCGCUUUCGCCUGUGACGAAGCGUGAGUGACGGUAAUGGGUAAAGAAGCACCGGCUAACUACGUG
rnacentral:rRNA from 1 species